UGCCGGUGAUGCACACAAAAUUGUCCGUACCAUCUGAGAUUUUCUCUUUGAUGUAUACUCUAAAGUCUAUUUUCUGAGGCAU
rfam:Corchorus olitorius cultivar O-4 contig11913, whole genome shotgun sequence.